UUUGAAAUGGAAAAUCAAAUUGCAGAAACUUCGUAUAAAACUAUGAGAUCUGUUGCGCAAGUGUUUCCUCCAACGUUCUUCUCCGGCGGCGAUCUCCUCCAUUAACGCUUCUCUUCCAUUGAUGAGAUCUAUUGCGCAAGUCUUUCCUGCGGCAUCGAGUUGUGUUAUGCAAUUUCUCCAUUUCCAUCGAGCUUCAUUGAGCAUCUAGGUUAGUGUACAAAUUUGCAUUAUCUUCUUCUGUUUACUCAUGAUUGGUAAAUAUGCCAUGUUCUAUGCUAACAAUGACCAUGUCUUUUUCUUUAAUUCUAGGUUUUUUAUUUUCUUCCUUGUCAGAAGAAAUUGGAGCUUUCUGAGCACUUGAAGAAAUACCUUGGUACCAGGCAUGAAUUAAAUGGAGGAUUUACAUGGCUCUCAUUCAUAGAACAGAAGACAACUUAGAGGUAUCUAGUAGGGGAAUGGUUAAUAUAAAAAUACCUUGGGAACAUAUUGAUAAUUUAGUGUUACCUCUCUACAACCUCUUUUUUUUGUUUUUUUUGUUUUGUUUUAAAUUAAAUUGCUCUGCUGUAUAUUAUUUUGAUGGUUCAGUUAAGACUCGCAAAGAAGCCAAACGAAUGGCCUUGUCGGAUGCUAUUGCCUCUGCAAAGGCUAGAGUGGAAAGCCUUAAGGCAAGCAUUCAGCAGCAGCAGACAAAGAAACAAGACUUUGCGGAAUUUCCUGCUCAACAGUCCUUUGGUAAUGACCUUUUUUUUGCAUGUGGUUGCUAGUGCUAGUGCAGCAAUCUCUUUAUGUUCCUCUUUCAAUUAAACACAAGUACAAAGUCUCUUUAUGUUCCUCUUUCAA